rnacentral:rRNA from 1 species
AUUGAACGCUGGCGGCAGGCUUAACACAUGCAAGUCGAGCGGGGUGAUGGUGCUUGCACUAUCACUUAGCGGCGGACGGGUGAGUAAUGCUUAGGAAUCUGCCUAUUAGUGGGGGACAACAUCUCGAAAGGGAUGCUAAUACCGCAUACGUCCUACGGUAGAAAGCAGGGGAUCACUUGUGACCUUGCGCUAAUAGAUGAGCCUAAGUCGGAUUAGCUAGUUGGUGGGGUAAAGGCCUACCAAGGCGACGAUCUGUAGCGGGUCUGAGAGGAUGAUCCGCCACACGGGGACUGAGACACGGCCCAGAAUCCUACGGUAGGAAGCAGUGGGGAAUAUUGGACAAGGGGGGGAACCCUGAUCCAGCCAUGCCGCGUGUGUGAAGAAGGCCUUAUGGUUGUGAAGCACUUUAAGCGAGGAGGAGGCUCUUUUGGUUAAUACCCAAGAUGAGUGGACGUUACUCGCAGAAUAAGCACCGGCUAACUCUGUGCCAGCAGCCGCCGUAA